GCAGUAGGGUGCCAUCAAGAGGUGUAUUUGGAAAUAUCCCUAAUACAGGAUCACU
rnacentral:rRNA from 1 species